rnacentral:sRNA from 1 species
UGCCGAAAACCAUCGCGAAAUCGUAAAAUCCGAAACUUCCGUGUCCGCCAAGCCGACGCAUUCACGGACUUUGAGAACAGAACUCUUCCAUCGAAACUUUUGCACAGUGAACGGAUUAAUGGAUCGAAAGAGAAUGCUGAUGAGAUUGAGAAAACGUUUCAGACAGUACUUGCUAUGGAUUUUCCCACUUUGAGAGGUAACUUGUAAGGGGAAAUUUAAACUUUAAAGCCCAAUUCCCAAUUUUUUAAGAGGCGCUUCAAUCCGAAAAGUUCAACGCUUACACAGUGCUGAGUGCGUAUGUCUGGAGAGCAAUAAAGAUAAAUCGGAAGAUCAAUUGCAUCACUGAAGUUAUUAAGGAAGCUUUUACAGG